rnacentral:misc_RNA from 1 species
GAUGAAGAACGCAGCGAAAUGCGAUAAGUAGUGUGAAUUGCAGAAUUCAGUGAAUCAUCGAAUCUUUGAACGCACAUUGCGCCCCUUGGUAUUCCAUGGGGCAUGCCUGUUCGAGCGUCAUUUGUACCUUCAAGCUCUGCUUGGUGUUGGGUGAUUGUCUAUUUUUUUAGACUCGCCUUAAAGUCAUUGGCAGCCGGCAUAUUGGCCUGGGAGCGCAGCACAAGUCGCGCUUCUUGUCAUGAAUGUUGGCGUCCAGUAAGUCUACAUAUUUUGCUCUUGACCUCGGAUCAGGUAGGGAUACCCGCUGAACUUAAGCAUAUCAAUAAGCGGAGGA